ACAAACUUGGUCAUUUAGAGGAAGUAAAAGUCGUAACAAGGUUUCCGUAGGUGAACCUGCGGAAGGAUCAUCACAGUGAUCGGGGGAGGUGUGUGUGUGCGCGUGCGAGCGCGCGCCACACGCCGCCCCACCCAAUCUUUUGUGCACGGUUUCACGGUCAACGAGGCGCCGCGUGUGUGUUGGCAGGUCCCAGUGGCUUGCCAACCGCAUGCGCGCGCGUUCUCUCUUGCAAUCUCUUGUGCAAUCUCUGUCUAACGUGUUACCACUCAAUAACAAUACAACUUUCAACAAUGGAUCUCUUGGCUCUCGCAUCGAUGAAGAACGCAGC
rnacentral:misc_RNA from 1 species